AGAAUCAACGCUGGCGGCGUGCCUAACACAUGCAAGUCGAACGAGAAAGCGGAGCAAUCCGCAAGUAAAGUGGCGCACGGGUGAGUAACACGUGACUAACCUACCCUGGAGUGGGGGAUAACUGAGAGAAAUCUUAGCUAAUACCGCAUAACACCUACGGGUCAAAGGAGCAAUUCGCUUAAGGAGGGGGUCGCGGCAGAUUAGCUAGUUGGCGGGGUAAUGGCCCACCAAGGCAGUGAUCUGUA
rnacentral:rRNA from 1 species